GACUGGAAGCAACAACCAGGAAGACUGUUUACCUCAUCUGUGUAGAUAGAUACAAGCUUGUGUACAAAAAUUAAAACGUUUACGGUCAUUACAGCUCAGUUAUGGCACAAAGGCUGUGGAUUGUUUUGAUCUUCACUACAUGUUUCUAUGAAUGCAGAGCUAUAGACACAGUGACUCAGUCCACGAAAGACGUGACUGUAUAUGAAGGAAUGAGAGUGACUCUGGAUUGUGGAUAUGAAACAAUAGGAAACCCGUAUCUCUUCUGGUACAUCCAGUAUCCCAAUGAGUCUCCCAAGUACAUCCUGAGAAGGAGUGACUAUGGAGAUGACAACGCUCCAGGCUACAAGGAGAGAUUUGAUGCCAGUCUGAACACAACUGCAAAGUCUGUACCUUUAACAGUGCAGAAUGUGCAGCUGUCAGACUCUGCUGUGUAUUACUGUGCUCUGAGGCCCACAGUGAGAAUAACCUUCUCACACCCUCUACAAAAACACCUGGGACACUAA